UGAUCUUCCAACUUGUUUCCAUGGCAAGACUUGACGUUGGGUGGCAACGACCUUCAAGUCCUCUCCCUCUUCAAAGUUGGCGUCUCCUUCUCACUUUUCUGCUCUCACAGAUUACUCUUUUCUAAUUUCACGUUAAUGAAUAAUAAUUAGGUUUAAGGCUGUCUUAUUAUUUAUAAUAGGUAUUAAUCAUACCUAAAUAAUAAACCCAUAAACAUAAUUAAAGCAGACCAAGCCCAAAGGCUUUAGAGAAUAGAGGGGACGCCCACUUAAGGAGUUCGAGCCUUAAUUGGGCCAAGCGGGGAUAUGUUAGCUUGAAUAAAGUUUGGCCUCCCAGUGUUCGAUUUUCUUAUUCAGCACAGAAUAAAAUCGAGACACAAGUAUUAAUUUAUUCUACUAGAAAAUUAAUACUGAAUUACCGCUUUAUUCUUUAGUAGGGGUGAGCAUCGGUUCGGUUCGGUGCAAAACCGAACCAAAAACUCAAAACCGAAAACCGAACCGACGGUGAAAUUUGAAACCGAACCGCACCAAUAGGGGGCUCGGAACCGAACCGAAACCGAACCGGUAAAACCGUCGGUUUCGGUUCGGUGUCACCGACCGAAAUGUGCAGUUUUUUUUUUUGCUUUUUUUCGAAACGGCUGGCUGCUGGAAACGGAGGCGCCGAGGAGUCGCUGGCUGCUGGAAACGGCUGCUGCUGCUGAGGAGUCGCCGGACGGAGGCGCCGAGGAGUCGCCAGCUGCUGGAAACGGCUGCUGCUGCUGAGGAGUCGCCGGACGGAGGCGCCGAGGAGUCGCCGGCUGCUGGAAACGGCUGCUGCUGCCAAAGAAGGCGCUGAGGAGUCGCCGGACGGACGAGGGCUGGGCUGUCGCGCCUGGGCAGGCCGCAGGGGUCAGGGGACGAGGUCGGCAGCAGGGGACGAGGACGCCUACACCGCUACACACGCGCCGAGGUCAAAGAAGGCGCUAAGGAGUCGCCGGACUGCCGGAGACGGACGGGGCGGAAGGAAAAUCUGGGACUGUGAGGGAGUGGCUGUGGCGCGCAGAGAGAUAUGGGAGGGAGCGGCGUGAAUGGAAGGAAGAAGACUUAGGGUUUCUUAGUUUAGGUUAAAACUAAAAUUAAAUAUAUUAUAAAAUAUAAAUAUUUAAUAAAAAUAUUAAUAUUAGUCGGUUCGGUUCGAUGCAAAACCGAACCAAAAUUACAGAACCGAAACCGAACCGAAUUUUUUCGGUUUUUGGAUUUUGGAACCGAACCGAACCGACCACCAAUAGAAUUGGCACCGAACCGCACCAAUACGGUUCGGUUCGGUUCGGUUUUGACUAUCGAUUCGGUUUCUGCUCACCCCUAUUCUUUAGGUGAGUCGGGGCUAGCAUUAGACUUAAUUAAUCCCCGUGUUUAAGAUAUCUAUUAAUUAAUUAAUUCAUCUGACGAUCAAUUAAUUAAUUAAUCGGUCGUUUAAUUAUAAACGACAUUUCGAGUGCUACCACUUAAACUUAUUAUCGUAUCGGAACUAAUUCCACCUGCAGGGUUUAAUACGAUAAACUUAUUAAGUUACUCGAGAGAAUAUUAUCAUCUUGUUAUUAGCAGGACACCGAUCCUUAUUGCAAUAUAAUCGCAUGUCAAAUAAUAAUUGCUAUCACCCAAAGUAUCGAGUAUAUUGAGCUUCAAUAGAACUCUCACCCAUGAUAAAUCAAAGCAAUAGUCAAUUAAUUAUUCACACCGAUUAAUUCAAUUAAGUUUAAGACUAUUUAAGUCACUGAGAUCUUGAUUCUUAAUUAGUCAGAAUAUAAGAAUUCAUCAAUACACGAAGGUACUAGCAUAAAUAAAUAGCCAAGACAAACUAUUUAUCCAUUUAUGCUACAAUCUAAACCAGGAACUCGUCCAUAGUUGCCUCGAUUGUGAACUCAAUUUAUAUCUCAACUUUUUCCAAUUAUAUGAUCUUCUGUGAUCUACAACACAUCAUAUAAUCUAUAGUAUGAGAUAAAUUGGACUAUAAUAGGAUUAUGCAAUAACAAUAUUUCAGAUAGAAGAAUCAUAGUGAACUAAGGAAUCAAUGUAUACAAGCAUAAAGUCUUGCUUUCAGUAUACAACCCUUCAAUAACAUCGUGGCAGCCGAUAUUGACACGGUGGCACAUUUAUGACAUGUGGAAUUUAAAAAAAAAAAAAUUAAAAUAAAAAAUCCACACCAUCAUCUUCCCCAACCUCCCCCACUCCUAAACCCUAAUUUCCCCUUCCUUCCACCAGCCGCCGCCGCCUGCGGCCACCAUCGCCGCCGCCAACCACCGCCGCCCUCUCACCCCUCAACCUCUUAUGCGGCUGCCCCCCUGCCCUCUCAUUCUGAACCCAUAGCUGCCCCCUGUCUUCGUUCGUCUAACCAAGGGGCAGCGGACGCCGGCUAAGGGAGAAUGAGGCGUUAACAGUCAAACACCAACCCUGCUGGAGCAGAGACGGCAUCACCGAAACUUUUGAGUCACGGAGGCGCUGGAAGAACUGAGCGGCAACGACAAUUUUGACUGAAGUAGAUCGACAGAAGCUAGGGCUUUGAUUUUUGUCUCGUUCGUGUGACUAAGUAAUCUGAAGUAAGAAUUGAUUAAUUGAGAAAUGAAGUAAAGUGAGGGGGAGAAAAGAUGGAGGUAGGGAGAGAGGCGGCGGCGGAAAUCUCAAACAGAGAGAGAGAUAAGCGGGGUUCUGCUUUGGUUGUCAGUGGGUUAGACGAACGAAGGCAGGGCGGGGGCUACUGCGGGUUCGGAAUGAGGGGACAGAUGGGGUAGCCACAUGAGAGAUUGAGGCGAUGGUGGCAGCGGGUGGGGGGAGGGAAAGUUAGGGUUUAGGAGUGGGGAAGGUUGGAGAAGAUGAUGGUGUGGAUUUUUUAUUUAUUUAUUUAUUUUUUAAAUUCCACAUGUCAUAAAUGUGCCACUGUGUCAUUUUCGGCACCGGCGUAAGAAAAAGGCGAUGGACAAAUUUGUGACAAAAAUAAAAGGUUAUGUAUUUAAAGUAGACUUUUUAAAUUAUGAGCAAAAGCCAAUUCUGGGAAAACGUCUAUUCAAAAAUAAAUUUAUGCGCCAAUAUUCAUUUUGUAGGUAGCCUAUGGAUAAGAUGUUCUAAUAGAAAAAUUAAUAGUUUUACAACAAACAAAUUUAUAAAUUGUAUUAUAAGUCCAAAAUAAUACAUAGUUUUACACAAUCUCCCUCUUCAUUCCUUAAACUUCAUAAAAACUUCCCUCAUUUAUAAAAAAUAUCGUAAAUUAAAGAUAAAAGUUUAUAAUUUUAUACAAAAAUCUACUUAAAACUUUAUUUUUUUUCUCUUUUUAGUGGAAUCAUUUUUUACGAUCCUUGUAAAUUAAAGGGGUUUUGACAAAUAAAAUCACGUACGAACUAUUUCGAAUUUGCAAUUUUGACGUGACUUUUUGUAACACCCCAAUUUUCAUAAACUUUUCAAUAUAAAAUCUUUGAAAAACUAAUAGAUAAAAUAAAAUUUCUUGAAUUAUAAAAGUUUAAAUCAAUAUAAAUUUAACUUGCCAAAACUAAAGUAGUAAAAAAUAAAAAUAAAACGAUAAACUAAAACUUAACAAAUUCUACUAAAAUGUUCAAUAUAAAAUCCUUAUCCCUAGUCAUUCUAGACUUCCAUGGCCACCUCGACUCCAGAACUGCAAAACUGAAAAGAUAAGGGGUGAGCAUAUUGAAAAUAUACUCAGUGAGAAAUCAUGCAAAUAUUCACAUACGCUUAAACAUGCAAAUAAUUCACAUUAUCAUACACAUAUACUGAUAAUCUGAUGGGCGAACUGAGAGCCCCUGAACAUGUAUUUCAACAUGGCUAAAUUUCUGAACAUGUAUUUCUACAUGGCUGAACAUGUAUUUCUACAUGGCUGAUUUUCUGAACAUGUAUUUCUACAUGGCUGAACAUGUAUUUCUACAUGGCUGAGCAAGUAUAAUCAAACAUGAAAUAAGAGCAUAUAAAAACAUACAUGAAUAUAACCACAGGCAUAUAAUCCCUCACCUUAAUGUCGAAACAAAACAAAUCCGGAAUGAAGGUCUUAAUUGCUUCGCACCUAAUCACAUAAAUAUGAUUACUAACUCUAUUCUAAAAUUCUAUAAAUAAAUCUUAUAAUCGAGUAUAUACUUAUAACAAAUUUAAUCAUAUGUAUAUAUAAGCAUAGGAAAAUAAAUACUAAAAGAAUUUGAAGUCAAUUAUUUUUUUUUUUCUUAUCAGUUCUUAAAGCUAAAUAACUCGUAGCAAAUGUUAAAUUUGUAUCUAAAUUGACCAUUAUAAUAAAAAAAUUAACUUAAGAGACGAAUUAAUUAGUCAAAGGCAAUCUAUUUAUUUGCAUUGCUCCAGAAUGACUCAUCUAGGAAUUUAGGCAUUAAAACACCUUUAAAUUCUCAUGCAGAGACUAUCCAUUAACAAAUUAUACCAAUAACUAAAUUAAUCAAAAUAAGUGGGAAAGUUUCGAGAUAUGCUUCUACAAUGAAGUUUUGACAUAAAUUGAAGUAGGAUCUUUUAUAACUUUGACUUAAAAAAAAACUUUAGCAUGAAGAAAAAGAAACUAAACUACUCGAAAACUAAUUACUAAUUACCUAAAACAAACUAAAGCUAAGAGGAGGAAAACAUCUAUGCGAAAGAAAAAAUUUAAAAGAGAAGAUGUGUACCGAUUCUUGAUGGCUGCCUCGGGUUUUACGGGUGUGUCGUAGGGUAAAUAUAUAUUAUGCCUCUAUUUAUACUAGUCUUUAAAGAGUUUGAUAAUUAUAAAGAUUGUAUUAUGUAUAUAUCUCCUAAUAGAAUAAGGAAUAUAGAUGAUAGAAGAGUUCUAAUUCUAAUAAUAAUAAUAAUAAUAAUAAUAAUAAUAAUAAUAAUCUAGAUAAAAUAAGUGGUGCUUAUCUAUAUAUAUAUAUAUAUAUAUAUAUUAUACUAAAAAAUAAUAAGUUGUACAAGAAAUAUUAAUAAUUAAACUUAUAUAAUAAAUANUCCUACAUUUUUUUAGAUCAUUAGAAUAUUGAAUUGGAGCUUAUGUGAAUUAGUACAGACGUCGUCGUUUUUUUUAGACUUAAGCGAUGCCGUUUCUAUUUCAAUAGAAAAUUGGGCGUCACAAUUAUAAAAGGAUUGUAUCCUGUAUUUGCACCAUAAUUUUCAAUAUUCAACAAUUUUAUAGAAAACAACGUCAUAACAUGUAUGAACAUUACAUGGCGAUUUAAUUUGCCACACUUCAAAAGUCAUGUUAAAAUUGUAAAUUUGAAACAGUUUGUGGUUUUAUUUUCCAAAAUCCCUAAAUUAAAAUAUCGAAACCAAUUGAUUUAAUUGAAAUAAUAGAUACAAUAUUAUACAUUUUAAUCUUUGUUUUUUGUCAGUGAUUAUGUGAAGUAAUAUUUUCAUUUUAAACAUUAUAACAAAACACCCAAAAUCAAAUUCAUUUAUUUUCUCUAGAAAAUAUAAAUUAUGAGAAUUAUUGGUAAAAAAAACAAAAAAGAAGUAAAAGAUAGGCAACAACAAAAAAUCACUCAGCAACCCACAAAAUCAUUUGUUUUUCAACCUCAUAAUAAAGAUAAAUAAUGUUGGGUCCUCUAGGGUCAUUGAACUGGUGUAGGGGGAGGGAAAUACACUAGUAGGCUAUUUUUAAAACUUAAACUUCUUUCGAUAACUGAAAUAAGUAGUGUUGACGUGAUUAGUGAAAAUCGAUCAAGAUCAGUUGAAAGAAGGUGUAGACUAAUACUGAAAAUGUUUCAGUGGAUAACUUCAGUAUGAAGAACAAGUCGACAAACUGAUAGUUCAGUUAAGGCUUCAGUCUAAUCAAAUGAAAUCAGAGUGAGUGUUAUAAAUCUUACUGACUACCCAAAGGUUUGUCAGUUAGACUGAUAACACUUGGUGAGCGGAAACAAUUUUAAGGAAAUAGCAUUUAGUGAAUCAGAUUGUCAAUUUUAAGGUUUCUCUUUUCAAGUUAAUAGUUUCAGUGUAUAAGCUUGUGCACGGAUAAAAUAUGAAAUACUGAAAGCAGUAAAUGACACAGAGAUUUUUAACGUGGUUCGGAAAAUCUUUCCUACGUCCACGGUCAGUUGAUAACACUGACAAUCGAUUGCGCUUGUGCUUACGGGGUGCACAACAAACCUAUCAACUGAAACAACUGUUUCAGUACCAACACACUGGGUUGAAUUUCUAUUUUCUUUUCUCAAUCUCCCAGAUACGCUAAGACUUCACUCGUCUUACUUGCGGGGGCUGAGAACUCUUCGAGUUUAGACAACCGUCUAAAACUCUAACACUCAAACGCUCUCUUUGCUCGAUUGAAAAGGGUUUGAAAACCUUCCAACUAAGAUUACCGAGAACAUGCUCUCGAGUAAUCAAGGACUAGGCUAAGGAUGUAUGAAUAUGGUUUGCCUAGACACUUCUAAGAGAGUGUUUAUAAAUCAGGUGAACUGAUUUUUACAACAAGGUUUACUCUCUUCUUCGAUUCAAGUUUUGAUUGCUAAGUAAGUAGCUGACUCGAUAUUUUGGCAGAGCUUCAGCGUAAGUCUUUGAAUCGGUCAGGUUGAAGGUUAUUCCUUGAGCUCUAUUUAUAGGCGGAGGAUGUAGAAUUGGUCAGUCCGUCUUUUUGUAGCUUCAGUCCGCUGUAUUCUUCUGAUCUUGAAACAAGUCUUCAGAGAAUAUUUCGACUAAAGAUUGCUUCUUCAUUCAGUACAAGUCCUUCAUUUAUUGUUGCAAUAACUUCAGGUGAAACAACUGUCAUUAAAUAGACGUUCAUACAUAACAUAUGGCUUAACGGUCCAGUAAUACCGUUAGGGCUGGGAAUUUCGGGUUCGGGUAAUCGGGUACCCGAUACCCGACCCGAAAAAAUCGGGUAUCGGGUACCCUAUACCCGAUUUUUUCGGGAUCGGGUACGGGUUCGGGUAGUUCGGGGACAAAAUAAUCGGGUAUCGGGUAUACCCGAUCGGGUAUCGGGUAUACCCGAAUUACCCGAUUAUUUUUAAUUAAUAAAUUUAAAAUUAUUUAAUUAAAUUAAUUAUUAAAUAAAAAUAUGAAACUAAAAGUGAGUUGUGCUGUACUGUUAGUCACUUUAAAUUGAAUUAGUCAAUUAGACUCCCAGGCUCCCAGCCCUAGGUCUCCGCCGCGCCGCCCCUCUCAAACCAGAAAUCCGGCGACCCUCGCCCGUCGUCGCCGUUCUGCUCGCCUCGCCCGCCCGCCAUCGCCGUUCUCCUCCUCUCGUCCGCCCGCCCGCAGUCGCUCACUUGCUCCCAGCCCCCGCAGUUCCACCGCGACCCUCGCCCUCGCCCAAUCGCCCUGUCGUUCCCGUCGUUCCGCCGCCGCCGAGCUUGUCGCCCUGCAGCAGCCGUGCCGCCUCCGAGCUCCAACAACGUCACACCAGUUCUUCUUCUUCUUCUUCUUCUUCUUCNUCUUCUUCUUCUUCUUCGUCUUCUUCUUCUUCUUCUUCUUUAAUACAAAUUUCCUAUGUCAAUGUUGAAUAAUUGAAUUUGUUGCUUUGAAUAAUUGAAUUUGGUCCUUGAAUUUCACUAUAACAGUGUUGAAUUUCGGCUGAAUUUGUUGAUUUGAAUUUGCUGCGUUUGAAUUUGUUGCCAUGGCCGCUGCUUCAUUUCCUCUUUGUUAUUCGGGUAAUUUAGGGUACCCGAAUACCCGACUCGGGUACCCGAGUCGGGUAUUAGGGUACCCGAUUUUAGAAUCGGGUUCGGGGUCGGGUAGGGAUUUUGGAUAAAUUUCGGGUUCGGGUACCCGAUUUUUUCGGGUAGGGUACCCGAACCCGACCCGAUUCCCACCCCUAAAUACCGUUAUAUAUAGGGAUGGCAAUCGGGUACGACGGGUACGGAUAGUGACUAUCCAUACCCAUACCCACGAACUAAAUUGAUAGUGGUUUUUAACCACGAAACUAUCCAUGGAUAUCAAAUGGUAUCUAAACCCGCUACCCGUCGGGUAUCCACGAACCCGCUAUCCGGCGGUAUCCGUCACCCGCUAUUCGCCGGAUACCCACUAUCCACUGGAUACCCACCACCUACUAUUCGCCGGAUACUCACGAAACAAAAUUUAAAUAUAAAUUUACAACAAAUUUAAUAGAAAAAAAAUCAACACAAAUAACAUAGUUCAAAUCCAUAUGUUGAAAUCCACAAAGAAUAAUGUUUAAAUUCAAAUUCAUCAACUAAAAUAUAAAAUCCAACAAAAUUUUAUAAUUGUUCAACAAAAUUCAAAUUUAAAUUAGACUAUUAGAAUUUGGGCCUUAGUUCAGUUUCUGUUUGGACCUAUUUUAAGAUAUAAUAUGUUAGCCCAUAAUCUCAAAAUAUAUAUUUAAAGCCCAUAUUUUAUGGAAUUUUUUGUAGAUAUUUGACGGGUAAUUCACAGAUAAUUGACGGGUAAUUGGCGGGUAUUUUUUGCGGGUAAACGGGUUUCGCGGGUAUGGAUAGUAAGUAUCCAAACCCAUACCCACGAACUAGAUGGAUAGUGAAUUACAACCACGAAACUAUCCGUGGAUAUCAAAUGGUAUCCAAACCCACCCUAAUAGGUUCGGGUUUUCGCGGAUAUCCGUUACCCGCGGGUAGAUUGCCAUCCUUAGUUAUAUAUAGUACGAAUAAAUAACGCUAAUGCGUAACGCUUACUUUAUACUGUUAUAAAUACAUUAAGACAACACUACAUACAUAACAGAAUUUUGUAAAAUCGUUAUGUAUCAUCAAAAAUGCGCUCAUACAUAACGGUUUAUGACCAAAACCGUUAUAUAUGAACCGUUAUCCCUAUUAUUUUUUUAGUAGUGUUUCUUACACGGGCACCUAAUAUUACCUUCUCCAUCUGUGUACGCCGUUUGAUUUAUCGCAUACUCAAAGAAACUCUCAAGUCCCGUUUCAAAUGCAGAACGAUCAUUGUAUCUCGCGUACAUUCACAUACGAUUAUCACUCAUUCUUGCAAAUUCUAAUCGAAAAAAUAAAUAAAAGAUCAUAAAUUAUUUGAAUCAAACGAAAUUUCGACAGCAUAACCCCACUAUCCUAAGUACCAAGUGCUCGACUCUACCAGCAGCUAUAGUGACCACAGUUAUCCUAAUUUACUAAGCCUAUACUAGGUCUACCCGGCCCCCUAUUGUCGAAACAAUACAAUGCAUAUAAAGCAAUAAAAACAGAGUAAUUAAAUUAAAAACAAUCAUUUGUUGGGAGAAGAUCCUUAAGAAAUAAUCAAUUUCUAUCCCAAAGGGAGAAGAUUCUUAAGAAAUUGAUUAAAUCUAUCACACAAUAUAUAAUAACAUAUCAUUUCAUCAUAAACACAUACUAGCAUACUUAAAAUUCAAUUAAUCAUACUUAAUUUAACAAAAUUAUCUAACAUAAAUAAAUUAAUCUAACAAAUUCAUACUUACAAUUAAUCAUGCUUUAUAAUUAAUCAAACUUUAAUUUAAUUAACAUUAAUUAGAUUCUAACAAAAUAAUAGUAAAAAUAAAUUUAAAAUUAAUCUAAUUAACAUUAAUUAGAUUCUAACAAAAUAGUAUUGAAAAUAAAUUUAAAAUUAAUCUACCAAAUUAAUUUAACUAAUUAAAAUUAAUCAUACUUCACAUAUUAUAAAUUAAUUAAAAUUAAUCUAAUUAACAUUAAUUUUAAUCUAACAAAAUAAUUAAUAAAUAAAUAAAAUAGCGAGAACGAGAGCGUACGAUAGUGGUCGGCAGCGGUGGCGGUAGCGAUGUUCUGAGACGAUAGAGUGAGAAAGAGGACCUGCAGGGGUGGUUGGCCGGCGACGGCAGUGGCUCGACGGCGGCAACGGCUGGGGGUGGGGCGAGGCGGAUCGGCGACUGGGGGUGGGGGGAGGGUUUGCUGCGUGAAAAGGGGAUCUGGGAAGGGGAUGACCGAUUUUAAUUUAACAAAUAGCGGCGGCAACACACCGCCGGUAAUAUAUAUAUAUAUAUCCACAAUUAAACAUAAAAUAAAAUAAAAUAAUUUUAUAAAUACCUGCGGCUCGCCGCCGAUAAUUACCGACGGCGACCAUGCCGCCGGUAAAUUUAAAAAGGCGGGUCGCCUUGUUUGCCGUCGUUGUGCCGCCGGUAAUUCCCGCCGGUAUUUCGGUGUUUUUUGUAGUGUUACUUAUAUUUGUUAUUAUGUGUAAAUUAUUUUAAAUAAAGAUUUAUUUCAUGAUUUUCUCAUUAAAUAUUUAUUUAUAUUCAUGAUUUUUCCGCACAAAUAUACAUUGAAAUUUUAAUUAGAUUUGGGUGUCAUAAUGCAUGAUUCCUGUUUUAUAUAUUCGAUACAGUUAAUAAUAUUAAAUAGAUAAUUAUUCUUAAAUUUUGAUAGGCAUAUAGUGUUACUGUAUAUCUAUUUUGGUUACCCUUUUGUUAUUAAGAAUUGCUNNNNNNNNNNNNNNNNNNNNNNNNNNNNNNNNNNNNNNNNNNNNNNNNNNNNNNNNNNNNNNNNNNNNNNNNNNCCCUAAUCCCUUGUCGAUUUUGUUGGUGGGGAAGGGCGGUGGAUGGAGAGAGUCGUGGGGAGUGCGGUGGUGGGGAAGGCGAUGGAGGAAGAGGUGUGGUGGUGGUGAGGAAGAGCAGGGGCGGCGGAUCUGUGAUGGUGGUGGGGAAAGGCGGUGGAGGAAGAGGUGCGGUGGUGGGGAGAGCAGGGGCGGCGGUGGAAGAGGCGGUGAGAGAGAGUGAUGGUGGUGGGGGAAGCCGGUGAGAGUGGCUGACGGCGGUUCUGGGGGAGGGGGAGGGUCCGACCGGGGGGGGAUGGGGGGAAGCUGACGUGUGGAGAGAGAGAGAGUGGGGUGUGAGAGAGAGAGGGUGGAGUGUGUGUGUGUGUGUGUGACGUGGCGAUUCCGGCUGCCACGUCAAUAUUCCGGUCGCCGGAAUUCAAAAUUAUGUCAAAAUUGAACAACUUCUUAAAUUGGUGUAUUAAAAUGUAAAAUCCUAAGUUUGCGUUAAAUUUGGAUUUUUGGCAAAGUUUGUGUAUUUUGGUGCAAUUUUCCCUAAAAUAAAAUAUAAAUUAAAUUAUUUUACAAUUACCGGCGAUGACUCACCGCCGGUAAUGCAGCCGGUAAAAUAAAAAAGACUGGUCAGCUUGUAUGCUGUCGUUGUGCUGCCGGUAUUUUGACCUUUUUUUGUAGUGUGAUUUAUACUACAAUGGUGCAUAUUGUAUAUUGAUUCAAUUUAUCAUCAUAAGACACAUUUUUUAAUAGUGAUCGAAUAAGAAGAGGUGGAGAAAAGAAUGGAGCAGCUCAAGGAUGUUUACCCAUGCAAGGUUUGCAUACAGAUCCCCGAAGUAAUAUCUGCAUCUAUAUGAUGCUACUUCAAUUAUUUCAGCAGAAAGUACUGAAUGCAGCUCAAAUAUGACAGGAUGCAACAAAAAUGAAGGAUUGGAAACAGAAGUUAGAUCGAGACGUUGAGUCUAUGAUCUCAAACUCAAACGUUUUUCUUCUUCGCACGGUUAGUCUAAUAGGUCCACUAUAACUACUAUUGAUUUCCAUUGUUUAAUGUUUUGUUUUUCUCUUUCACAUUAAAUUUCAGUUUCUGGGACAGAUUGGGGUUUCAUGCCCUAAUAUGGAAACAUUAUGCAUUAAUGCAUAAUGUUUCCAUAUUAGGGCAAGAAAACCUCAAGUUUUGACCGAUGAAAGUUAGUCAUAGUUUCAUUCAAAUCCUUAGAUAAUGAUUCACUUGGAUAAUUACUGAUUUUUUAUCUAAUGGUUUGAUAGGUGCUGAAAGAGCUAUCAGAUGGGCUCUAAAUCAUUCUUGUAUGCACUACUCUGGGUAGACAAGAAAAUACAAUUGUUAUUUCCACAGAAAGGUAUAUAUUGUUUCAACUAUUCCCCUUACCAUUGGUAGGAGUGUGUGAGCAGUUGGUUUAGUUUAAAGUGUGUGCACUAUUAUUUAUGACAUUGUACAACAUCAAAUAUGGACUUGACAUUCUACAAGGAAUUCAAGAUGAAAACAAGAGUUUGAAGUCCCUUGCUACGAAUGAUAAUGAAUUUGAGGAAAAAAAAUAUUUUGGUGGCUACUCAAUUCGUUGGCAAGCUUAAUGAUUAUCAAGUUGAGGAAAAGUGAUACACGAAGCCCUAGCUCUAGUUUAGCCCACUUAUGCAUAGCCCAUAGCCCAUUAGGUUAUGAUAUAAAUAUUGUAAUCUCUAAGUUAUUACUUAUGGAAUGAAUAUUUGGGUUGAUGUUUAUCAAAUCUAUCUCUCUUCUCCCUUGAUUUCUGGAGUUGGGCUACUUGAAUUGCUCCACCAUUGAUCGUGAUUGUAUCAAUUGCUGAUGUAUUAUUCAACCCGGUGACAUUGAAGUUACUUUCAAUGACAUUGGAGCUUUGGAAAAUGUAAAGAAAGCCGUGAAGCAAUUGUUACCGCUACCUUUGGAACGGCCAUAAAUCUUCAAGAAUGGACUGCUUAGCAAAGUUAAAUGCCUUUUGUGUUUAAAGCAUUUGAAUGAAAUUGAUAUAUAUAUAUGUUUUAUUUUUUCUAACUGUGUCAUUGGCAGCCUUGUUCGGGAAUAUUGCUCUUUGGGCCUCCCGGUACCGGUAAAACAAUGACUGCAAAAGCUGUUGCCAAAGAAAUUGGUGCAACCUUCAUCAAUAUAACCAUGUCAAGUGUGUAUUCAAAAGUAAAGUAACAUUUUUUAGCCAUUAGCCUAUGUUUUAUUAUAUAUGAUUAUUUUGCAUCUGUGAAUCUGAGAAGUAUGUUAAAGCAGUCUUCACUAUCGCCUAGUGUUAUAUUUAUUGUGUGAUCCUCCAUAUGUAUUGUUGAUGUCUUAUUUAUAAGAGUUUAAAAUUAUUUAAGGCCAUUAUCUUAGGGCUAUUUGCAAAAAUAGGCCACUAUUUUUCGGACUUGCAAAAAUAGGCCAAUUAUUUUAGUUUUUGCAUUUUUAGGCCACAUUUGAGCUCAAUUCAACAUUUAUAGGCCAUUUUUUGGGGUCAAAAUGUGGCCCAAAAUAGCCUGAUUAGAUACACAUGUGGCCUAAAAAUACCAAAAACUAAAAUAAUUGACCUAUUUUUGCAAGUCCGAAAAAUAGUGGCCUAUUUUUGCAAAUAGCCCUAAGAUAAUGGCCUUAAAUAAAUUUAAACUCUAUUUAUAAUGAUAUUCUCUUGAAAUAUUUAUUUUUUUAUAUCUAUUGGCAUAGGCUGACGCAGUAAUCGGGGAAAAGGGGACGGCUUGCGUACAAAUGAGAAUAAACGAGUAGUGGUUCUUGCUUGAUCUGGACGAGACAGUAAUCAGGAAGCUAUUAUCAUUGUCGUCUAAAACAUAAGCAUUCUUCAUCUUUGUUUACAAUUUGUGCAGGUUGACGCUCAUCUUUGUUUACAAUUUGUGCAGGUUGACGCUCAAAACACAGAGAAAAUAUUGAAGCUGAUAUUGCCCAAAGAAAAACUAGGUGCAGAUGUGGAUUUCAAAGUUCGCUGAAAUGACCGAUGGAUAUUGGGAAGUGAUCUAAAGGUUUUUUCACGUUCAUGAGUUUUAAAAUAUAUUCGGGUUUCAGCUUCUUAUCAGUGGCAGAUCCACAUGGAGGCUACGGACUCCCAAACUUUCAAUUUAAAAAAAAAUAAAAAUUGAUAGCUUACUUGAUUUUUUUAGUUUUAAUUUUUAUGUUUUUCAUUUAAUUUUAAUUGCUGAAAUUUAAAUAGCACAAUUUACUAAUAAUUAAAAUUACAUUAAUUUAAAUAUCCUAAAACUUACAUAAAAAUAAACACCUAAAGACAUAAAUUUAAAAUGACUUAAAUCCUAAAAAAUGAUGGCCACCAAGAAUUAAAAAAUAAAUAAAAAUCCCAUAGAUGAGCUAUGGUAUUUAUAACUAAAAAAAUACACAAAAUAGAUGACACUGUCGAUUAAAAAAAUCCCAUAGAUGAAAAGGAAGAUACAUAAUUUUUUUUUCAUUAUGGCGCGUGUAAGAGGAGAUCGGGGUUACCCGUUCAAUCGGGUAACCCUCGAGUAGAUGUUACCUACAUUGGGCUACUUGAUCUUGGGGCUACUCAGAGUAGGGGAGAUCGAGUAGCCCCAAUGCGAAUGCUUUUACAACUUUAUAGAAUUGGGAAAAUACCAAAGUUCACUAAUAGUUUGUGAUUUACAGCCAAUUAAUGUCUCAAAAAAUAUGUUGUGAAAUACUGAUCUAUAAAAAAUAAUUAAAGUUCCAAAAACUCUUUCUACACUAAUAGAAAAUUUAAAAGAAAAAUAUCUAUGUAUUUUGGUGAAAACUUUAAAGAGAUAACAGUGUUCAUUAGAUAAAAAAGGUUUUGUCAAAAUCUUGAUCAUUCACUUGAUAAGGCUCCAACUAUAAAAUAAUUUCAUCUUCAUUUUAAUGCUACUAUUUUUGUUAGAGCUAUUUUAUAUAAUAUAAAAAACUUAUAAAAUUUUAUUUUCUAAAUAUAAUAUUCUAAAAAAUAUAGAUUAUAAUAGAAUUUGGAUUGGGAUUAUGUCAUAUCCCAGUUUUUAAUCACUGAUUAAAGACUUAAUAAUUAGGGUUCGGCAUCCAUUAAUAAUAAAACUGAUUUAAUUAAUCUGAUGUGAUUUAAUUGUUAUAUAUGUGUUUUGAUGUGCUAAAUUCUUAUUAUUAUUAUUUGAAUCCGUUUGAGAUUUAAAGGAUUAUUGAGUAGUCAAUAAUUAUUAUUUCGGAUUAUAACUGACUUAGCAGAGUCAUGUUAUUUAAUUUAUAUACGAUAGAAAUAGUAUUUCUAUUAUUUACUUGAAGUCGUAAUUAAUUUUCGACUUAUAAAACGAGUUAUAAAAUAUGUAAUUUAUAGAGAGUUAUAACGAAGCUUCGUUAUAUGGGAACCCGAAAUUAGUAUUACAAAUACAGAAUAAGGAUUUUAUUCAUCACAUUCAUCUAGCACCUACACAUUUCCACAUCCAUCUUACUCUUAAAUAAAUUGAUGGUGUUGGAAACACUCAUCAUAUGCCAACUAUCCCACUAAACACUCAUCAUUCCACUAAACACUCAUUAUUCCACACACUCAUCAUUCCACUAAACACUCUUUACACCUUCUUUUGCCAGCCAUCUUCUACACUUUAACAUCUCAACAUGCAAUUAGCUUUUAUUUAAUCAAAAUCAGCAACCAACAUUCCUCCCAUUCCUCCUAACAUUCUGAUCCAAGCUAUUCUUAUGCUUGAAUUAUAAUUCACUGAUUCCAGCUUUCCAAAUCAGUUUCCAAGAUUUCCCAAAACAAGAAAGAGGUAAUAAACGUCCAUUAAUUCUUCCAAUUCUUUCAUAGUUUUCAGAUCCAAAAUUUCAUUGUUAAGCUUGGCUGAAUAAAUUCGCAGAUCCAAUUUUGG
rnacentral:lncRNA from 1 species